rnacentral:rRNA from 1 species
CAGUUUGAUUCUGACUGAAAAAUUAACUUACGCCAACCAACAUACAUGUUAAAUAUUUUAUACCCGCACUAAUUAUAAUCUAAACGAUUUAAUAACUGUAUUAAGAAUGUCCCAAUACAACAGAGCGCCACAGUAAGCAACACUUUUCAAUUUGAAAAAUCAAGAAAAGAGUAUGGUAUAAGGGCUGGCAAAAUUCGUGCCAGCUGCCGCGGUUAGACGAAAAGCCCAAGUUAAUAAAAUAUAAACUAAAUUAAUGAUAAAUUAAAUAAUAACUAAAAGUCUAAUUUUUAAAAUCUACGGCUCACACUUAUCAAAUUAAAAAUGAAAUCAUGAACUAAAACGUGGAUUAGAUACCCACCUAUUCAAGACAUAAAUAACAGUUGAAUAUUACGAACAAUAGUUUAAAAUUCAAAGACUUUGGCGGUGUCUUAUAAAAUCAGGGGAACCUGUCUCAUAACUCGAUAGUCCACGCAUACUCAACCCCCUCUUGAAACAUCAGCAUGUGUACUGCCGUUGAAAGCACACCUUUAAAAGAGUAGUGUGCUACUAUGAUUAAAACUAAACUCAUAUACAUCAGGUCAAAGUGCAGCUAAUGGGGAGGUGAUGAUGGGUUACAACCCUAAAACAGACUAUCAACUAAGAAAUAAAAAAUCUUAUGAAAGUGGACUUGACCGUAAUCUAUUUACAAGUUAAAAAAAUGAAUACUAUCUAAGACAUGUACACAUCGCCCGUCACUCUACCCUAAAGGGUAGAUAAGUCGUAACAAAGUAGGUGUAAUGGAAAUUGCACCUGU